CCUACGGGUGGCUGCAGUGGGGAAUAUUGGACAAUGGGCGAAAGCCUGAUCCAGCCAUGCCGCGUGUGUGAAGAAGGCCUUCGGGUUGUAAAGCACUUUCAGUGGGGAAGAAAGCCUUGGGGCUAAUACCCUCGAGGAAGGACAUCACCCACAGAAGAAGCACCGGCUAACUCCGUGCCAGCAGCCGCGGUAAUACGGAGGGUGCGAGCGUUAAUCGGAAUUACUGGGCGUAAAGCGCGCGUAGGCGGUCUGAUAAGCCGGGUGUGAAAGCCCCGGGCUCAACCUGGGAACGGCAUCCGGAACUGUCAGGCUAGAGUGCAGGAGAGGAAGGUAGAAUUCCCGGUGUAGCGGUGAAAUGCGUAGAGAUCGGGAGGAAUACCAGUGGCGAAGGCGGCCUUCUGGACUGACACUGACGCUGAGGUGCGAAAGCGUGGGUAGCAAACAGGAUUAGAUACCCUAGUAGUC
rnacentral:rRNA from 1 species